CCUACGGGUGGCAGCAGUGGGGAAUAUUGCACAAUGGGGGAAACCCUGAUGCAGCGACGCCGCGUGAGUGAAGAAGUAUUUCGGUAUGUAAAGCUCUAUCAGCAGGGAAGAUAAUGACGGUACCUGACUAAGAAGCCCCGGCUAACUACGUGCCAGCAGCCGCGGUAAUACGUAGGGGGCCAGCGUUAUCCGGAUUUACUGGGUGUAACGGGUGCGUAGGUGGCGGGGCAAGUCAGAUGGGAAAGCCCGGGGCACAACCCCGGUACUGCAUUUGAAACUGGCCAGCUGGAGUGCAGGAGAGGUAAGCGGAAUUCCUGGUGUAGCGGUGAAAUGCGGAGAUAUUAGGAGGAACACCAGUGGCGAAGGCGGCUUACUGGACUGUAACUGACACUGAGGCACGAAAGCGAGGGGAGCAAACAGGAUUAGAUACCCUAGUAGUC
rnacentral:rRNA from 1 species